GCCUAUAGGACUGGUUGUUUUUGGCUCCCUCUGGUGUUGCUCUAUGUUUUUCGUUUCACAUUUCAGUUUUUUCCUGUUGCCACACCCUUGUCCUUAUUUGGUCUGUUUCCGGUCUUGCCUAUUAUCUCCCAAUUACCUUCCCACCUGCAUUGUAUCUCAGUUCGUUUGUUGAGUAUUUAAACCCUGUGUUGUUCAUUGUUCUUCGUCUGAUCGUCAUUUCUGUGUUUGUGAGACCGGCCUAGACUACCUGUUACCGGCACAGGAAUCAGGCCCUACAUUGCAAGAUAUUCUCCAGUUCUCAACUGGGUCGAAUGAAGUUCCCCCAUUGGGCUUUCGCCACAGCCUUCCAUUGAAUUCUUACAUGAAGGGGGGGGGAAAUAUCCCAUAGCUAACACACGAUGAACAGAGUUGAGGGAGCAUACAUGCCCCAUACCUGGAGUGCUGUCCUGGGGGGCGGCGGACUGACAGCAGGAUCACACCUCUGUAACAACAAAAGCCAUCAGCUGAUAAAAACGCGUCACACUACUCCACCGUGUGACCUUCUGAUGAAGACGGAAGUAUACGUCGAAACAUGUCAAGGCAGAUUGGCUGCAGCUGAGGGGUGGUGUGAAACCCUAUGACGUCAGGGUAGCCCGGCUCUUUAAAAGGGGGCUGACGUCAUUGAGGUCUUGCUAGCUGUGGGGAUCGUUCGUUGCCACCGUCGCUGCCGCACAUCGCUGCCACUAGGGCCAGCCUCGGGCCUUGCCCGUGCAACUCGCCGUCAUCUUUCUCACUCCUUGGGGUGAGACCAGGAGUGAGCGCCUGGCCGCCGAGGCCUACUUUGUAGGCCGUGUUUUUCUUAGUUUAGACAUUUUUCCAUACUGUUUUUUUUUUUGUAUUAAUAAAUACACCAUUUUAUUACGUUUUGUGUCUGCC